GCGAGUGUAGCCAAGAGGUCAAGGCAGUGGAUUGUGGUUCCACCAUGCGUGGGUUCGAAUCCCAUCACUCGCC
rnacentral:tRNA from 1 species